GACGAACGCUGGCGGCGUGCUUAACACAUGCAAGUCGAACGGAUCCGGGGGCAACCCUCGGGUUAGUGGCGAACGGGUGAGUAACACGUGGGUAAUCUUCCCCGAGUGAGGAAUAAGCUUGCGAAAGCGGGUCUAAUACCGCAUGAGGCUCCGGGACAUCAGUCUUCGGAGUUAAAGCCGUAAGGCGCUUGGGGAUGAGCCUGCGUCCUAUUAGCUAGUUGGUAGGGUAAUGGCCUACCAAGGCUGUGAUGGGUAGCCGGCCUGAGAGGGUGAACGGCCACACUGGAACUGAGACACGGUCCAGACUCCUACGGGUGGCUG
rnacentral:rRNA from 1 species